rnacentral:rRNA from 1 species
CGAAUGCUGACAUAAGUAACGAUAAAGCGGGUGAAAAGCCCGCUCGCCGGAAGACCAAGGGUUCCUGUCCAACGUUAAUCGGGGCAGGGUGAGUCGACCCCUAAGGCGAGGCCGAAAGGCGUAGUCGAUGGGAAACAGGUUAAUAUUCCUGUACUUGGUGUUACUGCGAAGGGGGGACGGAGAAGGCUAUGUUGGCCGGGCGACGGUUGUCCCGGUUUAAGCGUGUAGGCUGGUUUUCCAGGCAAAUCCGGAAAAUCAAGGCUGAGGCGUGAUGACGAGGCACUACGGUGCUGAAGCAACAAAUGCCCUGCUUCCAGGAAAAGCCUCUAAGCAUCAGGUAACAUCAAAUCGUACCCCAAACCGACACAGGUGGUCAGGUAGAGAAUACCAAGGCGCUUGAGAGAACUCGGGUGAAGGAACUAGGCAAAAUGGUGCCGUAACUUCGGGAGAAGGCACGCUGAUAUGUAGGUGAAGUCCCUCGCGGAUGGAGCUGAAAUCAGUCGAAGAUACCAGCUGGCUGCAACUGUUUAUUAAAAACACAGCACUGUGCAAACACGAAAGUGGACGUAUACGGUGUGACGCCUGCCCGGUGCCGGAAGGUUAAUUGAUGGGGUCAGCGCAAGCGAAGCUCUUGAUCGAAGCCCCGGUAAACGGCGGCCGUAACUAUAACGGUCCUAAGGUAGCGAAAUUCCUUGUCGGGUAAGUUCCGACCUGCACGAAUGGCGUAAUGAUGGCCAGGCUGUCUCCACCCGAGACUCAGUGAAAUUGAACUCGCUGUGAAGAUGCAGUGUACCCGCGGCAAGACGGAAAGACCCCGUGAACCUUUACUAUAGCUUGACACUGAACAUUGAGCCUUGAUGUGUAGGAUAGGUGGGAGGCUUUGAAGUGUGGACGCCAGUCUGCAUGGAGCCGACCUUGAAAUACCACCCUUUAAUGUUUGAUGUUCUAACGUGGACCCGUGAUCCGGGUUGCGGACAGUGUCUGGUGGGUAGUUUGACUGGGGCGGUCUCCUCCUAAAGAGUAACGGAGGAGCACGAAGGUUGGCUAAUCCUGGUCGGACAUCAGGAGGUUAGUGCAAUGGCAUAAGCCAGCUUGACUGCGAGCGUGACGGCGCGAGCAGGUGCGAAAGCAGGUCAUAGUGAUCCGGUGGUUCUGAAUGGAAGGGCCAUCGCUCAACGGAUAAAAGGUACUCCGGGGAUAACAGGCUGAUACCGCCCAAGAGUUCAUAUCGACGGCGGUGUUUGGCACCUCGAUGUCGGCUCAUCACAUCCUGGGGCUGAAGUAGGUCCCAAGGGUAUGGCUGUUCGCCAUUUAAAGUGGUACGCGAGCUGGGUUUAGAACGUCGUGAGACAGUUCGGUCCCUAUCUGCCGUGGGCGCUGGAGAACUGAGGGGGGCUGCUCCUAGUACGAGAGGACCGGAGUGGACGCAUCACUGGUGUUCGGGUUGUCAUGCCAAUGGCACUGCCCGGUAGCUAAAUGCGGAAGAGAUAAGUGCUGAAAGCA